rnacentral:rRNA from 2 species
UACGAAGGGGGCUAGCGUUGUUCGGAAUCACUGGGCGUAAAGCGCGCGUAGGCGGAUUGUUAAGUCAGGGGUGAAAUGCCGAGGCUCAACCUCGGAACUGCCUUUGAUACUGGCGAUCUUGAGUCCGGGAGAGGUGAGUGGAACUCCUAGUGUAGAGGUGAAAUUCGUAGAUAUUAGGAAGAACACCAGUGGCGAAGGCGGCUCACUGGCCCGGAACUGACGCUGAUGUGCGAAAGCGUGGGGAGCAAACAGG